UUAUUUUUUCUUCUACACUGAAUUAUACAUUUCUUUCAGAUGAGCACCAUGCCAGGCUUGCCUACGCGACCCUGUUUCUAUGACAUUGACCUUGAUCCUGUGACGGAGGAGAUAAAAGGACUCUUCUGAAGACAUUUCUACAGUCCCACACAUGCUUUCGACCAAUGUUCCUCAGUGUCCGUGUAGGCCUCCAUUCAUAUGCCGCUGAUAACAGCUCAUCCACUGCCUUCUAGCAAUGAAACUACUGAGUGUUAGAUCGACAAACAUUCCUUCUUAUGUUUUGCACAGGGUCUUUCUAUUCUUUUGCCUCUACAGGAUGCAGUCCCAUCAGAGACACCCUGUGAGGGUAGCAGUACUCAUUCAUACCCCUUUCAAAGAGAGGCCUGUUGCUUCUGUCAUUGAAGACACCCAUAAUUAGCUGACCAGCUCAGCUUGACAUUUACUCAAAUAUCCUCACACAAAAACUUGUAUUCUCUUGUACUUCGUCUCUUGGCUUAUGGAGGUUUUUUUUCUUUUGGGUACCCAAAAUGAAUGGCCAGUAGUCCAGGAUGUUAUUGUUCCAUGUUGUAAAAAAAAAA